UACGAAGGGUGCAAACGUUGCUCGGAAUCAUUGGGCGUAAAGCGCACGUAGGCGGCGCAGUAAGUCGGACGUGAAAUCCCUCGGCUCAACCGAGGACGUGCAUCCGAAACUACUGUGCUCGAGUAUGGAAGAGGGUCGCGGAAUUCUCGGUGUAGAGGUGAAAUUCGUAGAUAUCGGGAGGAACACCAGUGGCGAAGGCGGCGACCUGGGCCAAUACUGACGCUGAGGUGCGAAAGCGUGGGGAGCAAACAAG
rnacentral:rRNA from 1 species